CAGAAAAUUCAGCAUGGUGAAUGUCCAUUGUUUUUUAGAUCUGCUCUGAGUUGUGCUGCAGAGGACCUACCCCUUCUCUAGGGGAUGCACACAGUCCCCACCCUCUCCCCAUGUCCAGUGUGCACCCCUCAGGUUUUGGUGCAGUGUAAGCUCUGAGCUGCAACUCAAUGUAGACAAUUUUUGCUGUUUCAUUUCAGGAGACAUGCUCACUUGAUACGCAAAUAAACCUGAAGGUGACUACACCAGAUGAAAUAUUAAUAACAACUCUUCCUUUGCAUUUCCACCAUACUUUAGGUGAUUCUUUGCAUCCAUACAAAGCAGGCUCCUGCAAACCACAUGAUGGAUUCCCUGAAACCUCUCUCUGACUAACAGUACUUUGUGGAAGAAUGGGAAGGAACUCUCUGUGGUCGCACUUCUCUGUAGUGGCACAGCACAAUGUGAUGAAGGAGCAUUGCUGACACAGCAGCCACUCCAAUGCAUCUCCCUUACAGCAAAACCUGCUCUGUAUGAGGGUAGUUUGAAGGCAAAAGUUCAUUUAUUAUAUUUCUGUAACAAAGACACCUGAUGUCUUAAUAAAGAGACCAAUACAAAAUGAA